CUCAUUAAAAGAGUGCGUAAUAGCUCACUGGUCGAGUGACUCUGCGCCGAAAAUUUAACGGGGCUAAACUAUACACCGAAGCUUGGGAUACAUCUAAUGUAUGGUAGGAGAGCGUUCUGUAUGGGGAGAAGUCGUAGCGAAAGCGGCGGUGGACUAUACAGAAGUGAGAAUGCCGGAAUAAGUAGCGAGAAUUAAGUGAGAAUCUUAAUGGCCGAAAGUCUAAGGUUUUUGGAGGAAGGUUCGUCCGCUCCAAGUAAGUCGGGAGCUAAGGUCAGGCCGAAAGGCGUAGCCGAUGCACAUACGGUUGAUAUUCCGUAACCAUCUGUAAUUUAAGCAAAGGGACACUUCAAAAGGGUGUGACCCGGGCGUUGGUUGACCCGGGCGUAAGGGACCGAAAUUAGAGUAGGGAAGCACACUUGGCUGAAGGCGAGAAAAGCUUUGCGUAUAGAAGCAGAUGCCCGUACCGCAAACCGACACAGGUGGACAGGAAGAGAAUUCUAAGGCCAGCGGGAGAAGGGUAGUUAAGGAACUCGGCAAAUUGACUCCGUAACUUCGGGAAAAGGAGUGCUCUCGAGAGAGAGCCGCAGUGAAUAGGCCCAGGCGACUGUUUAGCAAAAACACAGGUCUCUGCCAAAUCGAAAGAUGAAGUAUAGGGGCUGACACCUGCCCGGUGCCGGAAGGUUAAGAGGAGGAGUGAGAGCUCCGAAUUGAAGCCCCGGUAAACGGCGGCCGUAACUAUAACGGUCCUAAGGUAGCGAAAUUCCUUGUCGGGUAAGUUCCGACCCGCACGAAUGGUGUAACGAUCUGGGCACUGUCUCAACUACCCACCCGGCGAAAUUGUAGUACCGGUGAAGAUGCCGGUUACCUGCGGCAAGACGGAAAGACCCCAUGGAGCUUUACUGUAGCCUGAUAUUGGGUUUCGGAAAUCUAUGUACAGGAUAGGCGGGAGACUGGGAAACAUGAGCGUCAGCUUGUGUGGAGUCGAUGUUGGGAUACCGCCCUUAGGUUUCUGGAAUUCUAACCUGCGGCCGUGAAUCCGGUCGGGGGACAUUGUCAGGUGGGCAGUUUGACUGGGGCGGUCGCCUCCGAAAAGGUAACGGAGGCGCUCAAAGGUUAGCUCAGCACGGACGGAAACCGUGCCUCUGAGUGUAAACGCAAAAGCUAGCCUAACUGCGAGGGUGACGGCCCGAGCAGUAACGAAAGUUGGAGUUAGUGAUC
rnacentral:rRNA from 1 species